rnacentral:rRNA from 1 species
UACGAGGGGAGCAAGCGUUGUUCGGAUUUACUGGGCGUAAAGGGCGCGUAGGCGGUCGUGACAAGUCACUUGUGAAAUCUCGGAGCUUAACUCCGAAACUGCAUUCGAUACUGCCGUGCUUGAGGACUGGAGAGGAGACUGGAAUUUACGGUGUAGCGGUGAAAUGCGUAGAUAUCGUAAGGAAGACCAGUUGCGAAGGCGGAUCUCUGGGCAGUUCCUGACACUGAGGCACGAAGGCCAGGGGAGCAAACGGG